rnacentral:siRNA from 1 species
UAAUGAGCCGUUGAAAGUAGGUGAC